rnacentral:rRNA from 1 species
AUGGGGUGCCGCCGUAGCUUUAGAGAGCCGGGCGCAUAUACGGGUGGAAAAUACGGGAAAGGGGUCGCGGGCAGGCGGGGAGCGCUUUGUUGCGCUGCUCUUUCAAGUUUCCACGGUGCGGAAAAGUCAGAGGGAUUCUGCGAGCGCAAGCGGCCGCAGCGGGCCGGCCUGGGCUUGGAGCCUUGUGGCUGGCCGCAGCGCGUGACGGGGCCGGCCAAUGGGGCGCCGCCACCUCCCUCCGUGGGUGGGCCCGCGGCGUGGGGGCGGGGGAGGCCUUUUGAUGGGAGGCUGCGUUUCGUUUUUGUUUUUAAUUGA